rnacentral:tRNA from 1 species
GGUUGAUGGUUCAGUGGUCAAAUUCUCACCUUCCAUGUGGGAGACCUGGGUUCAAUUCCUAGCCAACGCA